UUUUUUUUUUUUUUUUUUUUUUUUUUUUAAAUGUCUAGUGAAUAGAAUAAGAUGUCUGUCAAUGUUGGUUAUUGUUUCUAAGUCUGAUAAAGGUUUUCUAAUGUAAGCUAACAGAAGUAGAAGUUAAUCUAACCCUAACCCUAAGUCCCAAAAAGCCUUGGGCGUAUAGGAGCAAAUAGGGGGACCUGACCAUGCCAGCUAAGCCCUCAAUCAAGUGUAAUUUAAUGAUGAUGAUCAUAAAUAGAAUGUCUGCUGAGUUUUUCUGUGGUAUUAGCUUACAUAUAAGCUUGUGCAAUUAGAUAUUUAUUUCUUAAAUCAACAUUUUUCAUAACUAUAGAGCAGAAAAAAAUAUUUUAUUCAACCAGCAAAAGGCACAAUAUAAAUCUCUUAAAAUAUAGAAUUAGAAUCUAGACAGGGUUGGGACUUGAAAGAUCCUUAAUGAAGGAAUGUCAGUUGAAUGAUAUGAUAAUCAUGAGAUUCACUCUAAGUUCCUAUUUUCUGUUGCACUUCUCACCAGUUAUAUAUGUUUGCUGUUCUGAAUGACCCAUCUUUGAAAGUAUUUCAAAAGGCAUGUUUCCAAUAACUCAACUUUAAAAGUAUUACCUUGCAAUACUACAUUUAUCUUGAUGCUGUUUGAUUAGUCAGCACUGCGUACACUACAAAAGCGUUUUAAUGUUGUCCUCAUGACAUUGUCACUAUUUAAACCAGGACGUUGUUUGUUUGAUAAUAAAGUAAAUACUCAGGUAAAAACAGAACUAGCAUUGAACAGAACUGAAUAUUUAUAUACGAUUUAUAACUCUUAUUGUGAGAUACUGCGUCUAGUGAUCACUAAUUUCAAGAAAUGUAAAUGACAUUUUGUUGUUUACGGUAAAACUUAAAUACAAGUAGUUUUAUAAUUGAAGUUGACUCAUUUUUAUUAAGUGCUUGGUUUGAAAUUAUUUUUUUGUUUUAAUACUGUUCAUUUUUUUCAUUGCCAAGAGUAGGCAAAGUGACUACAAAUUACCUUGUGAUAAUACGGAUAAGGGAGUUAAAUAUGCUAAAAUGUCCUAAGAUGUUGUUAGAUCUAGAUCUAAUUGUCAUCAGUUAGCUAUUAUGUUGACCAGGUAAUGUUAAAUUAUGAUAUAAAGCUGCCAUGAUUUGUUUAAAUUGGAAUGAAUAUUGAAUAAAUAUGAAAGUUAGUUAGGUCUUAUUUCUAAAAUAAUCUAACAGUAAUCCAUCAUUGUGUCAUAAUGGUAACGAUAAUACAAUAAUUUUCAUAUUUGCCAUAUUGUUUCACAUAUCAAAUUUUUUUUUUAGAGAACUUCUAAUAUAGAUAUAUUGUAUUUCAAUUCUGAUUUGGAACUAAUAGCCAACAUAGAAUAUUAUGCUUACCAGAUUAAGUUAAAUUAUGAUUUAAAGUUACCAAGUUUUUUUUUUAUAUUACAAUGAAUACUUUUAAAAAUAUAUAACACUUAACUUUCAUAUAAUCAUCGUUCUCAUAAAGAUUGUCAUAUUGUUUCACAUAUCACUGGGUUUGUUUUUUUAUAUUUGUGUGUGCAAUAUAAUAAUAAAACUAAACAUACAAUUUUUUUUUUAUUCAUCUACCUUCUUAAUGAAUGCAUUCAAACCAACCUGUUCACUCAAUUACUUCACGAUUUUUUUAAUGUCUUUUUGCUGCUUGCAGUGAAAUCAAAUCAACAGUAUUAAUUGUUCACAUUUUGCAGUAUUCAUAUAUGCUUUAUUUUUUCCCCUAAAUUUUGUGGUUUGAUUAUGACUUUUUUUUUUUUUUAAGCUGUGUUAAUCAAAAUGUUAAAAACUUUAGUACAUCUAUGCAGAAACUAAUAAAGAAUUGACUUCUUUGCUUAUUAUUGUAGAUGGAAAAUGAUUUUAGCAUCCGGAUUUGGAUUAUAGUAAUUUCCUUGCCAGUUCCAUUUGGCUUUUAAACAUUUCUAUGUUUUGGUAUUUAAAUGCAUUUUUCUGUUUAACAUUUGCUUUUUGUAAUUAUUGUUUUAUGAAGGUUCACAAUAAAAUUGUGUUAAGUAUGUUUUACUAAGCCAAAAAAACAACAACAAACAAACUGAUUUUGGUUUAAGUUUUUUUUUUUAUUUACAGGUAACUACU